GGAGUUGUGGCUCAGUGGUAGAGCACUUGCCUAGUAUGUAUGAGGCACUGGGUUUGAUUCUCAGCACCG
rnacentral:tRNA from 1 species